CCAUGAUGUUACUACCAAAACCUGUUUUCUCCAUCAUUUUUAAUUUAUUUUUUUCCUUCCGAUUAUUAUUUUUUUUUAAUUUUCUUUUGCUUUUGGAGCUUUAGAUGUUAUUGUAUUGGAAUGGUUGAAUAGGAAGGGGGAGUUAAGUCUGGUUUUAUAGCUAGAGUUUUAAGAACAGAUCAUACGGCUGCGAUUUCUUUCAAUCCUUUUUUAACUAACAAUGACUGUUACUAUUUACAUUUUAAGAAAAAAGCUAAUUUGGAUAUUAUUUUGUCGUAAAAAAGAACGAAGAGAAAUGUCAAAUUCUA
rnacentral:lncRNA from 1 species